rnacentral:rRNA from 1 species
AUGGAAGUAGUUCUAUGCCUAGACAUUGCCCAAGAAACUAGAGCACUCUCGGAUGCGGAAUUCUAUCUUCGGAAACUGCUCAAGCUCAAGAUCCUAAGGCUUGUGGCCAUUGACCGCGCUAGAGAGUGCCAGGCUUCAAGGAUUACCUGGCUACAAGCUGGAGACGCGCCCUCGGCUUUCUUCCAAGCGAAGAUCAAUGCUAGAAGAAGGAAAGCAUUCAUCCACACUCUCCUAGGGCCAGACGAGGUCGUCACCUUGCAGGAGGACAAGGAAGCAAUGAUCCAUGAUCAUUUUUCCUCCCUACUGGGCACGGCAGCGCACCGCGAUAGCACCAUCAAUUGACAGGCUCUUGAUAUGGCUAGGCUUCAGGGUGGGGGCCUCGACAACCCUUUCACAGAGGAGGAAGUGUGGCGUGCAAUCAAGGCCUCGCCGGCUGACCGGGCGCCAGGCCCUGAUGGCUUCUCCGGCACUUUCUUCAGGUUUUGCUGGUAA